ensembl:lincRNA
GUCUGUGAGAAAGACAGCUUGUCACAAUGCCAAUCUCUGCAUUUCUCCAUCCUGCCCACCAGAGUAUUCUGAAAGACCUGGCAAAUAUCUUGCUGAACAUCAGAUACACCAUGUCUCCUGAUGGAGCAGACUAAUACCCUUAUUAAAAAGAAAAUGUGGUUGGCCUUUGUCUGGCCUGACCUGGCCGGGUGCUGGCCACCUAGGACCGAUGUUGGAUUUCCUGUGCCACCCGACAGACCUUGAGAUAGUCCUUGCUCUCUGCGCUAGAGAAGAAGCCAGUGAAAACGAAGAUGGGCAUCCUAAAAUGUAAUGUUUGCAAGCAAGCAUUUUCCCAGGAGAUAGAGUGGCCAAGGUAUUGCCUGUGUCUGACCCCCUUCUCCUGUCUAAAACAAGAGUUACCCUCCACCCAGCCACUGUCUAAAGAGCUUCAUUUAAAGCCAGGUAGCUUAAAGGAGGUCUGGAGUGCUUCGCAAUAG